GGGCUAUAGCUCAGUUGGUUAGAGUGCUACGUUGACAUCGUAGAGGUCACUGGUUCGAAUCCAGUUAGCCCC
rnacentral:tRNA from 3 species